rnacentral:lncRNA from 1 species
GAAAUUAUACAUAUAUUCUUUAGCUCUAGGAAAUUAUAUCUAGCUGGUCCUACUGAAGGAAGUCAGAUUCACUUUUCUUCUCUCUUCUCAGUCAGAUACCAUUCAUCUCUCUGUUUUCACAUUUUUAGAACUUUUUUGGCAUCUCUUACUAGCUGCUGUCUCCUAGUUUGUUUAGCCUACUGAAGAAAGGUUAUUCUUCUCUCCACUAAGUCAGUUACUACUAAUUCAUCUGUUUUGCAGCUUCUAGAAUUUUGUAGAUAUCUCUUGUCCACUGUCAUCUCCUCUCUUAUUCUCUCUUCCCUCGUAGUUUGUGCCUCUUGCAUUCCUUUACGAUCACGUUGGUGGGAUUCCAGGAGGGAGUAGAGAGAAUGUGCGUGUCCAUGGGGCAUUUAUUGGAAAGACAAGGCAGGGGCCCAGGUAAUCAAACUGUGCAUUGUGGAAACAUGUGGUAGUCAAGAAGCCCAGAGUCCACUCCCUGCUGGCCAGAGCUUGCUGACUUCCAUUGCCCAGUCAGGACUAGUUCAAAGAAGAGCAAGGAGGAGACCACAAAUGUGCCAACAAAGAAGAGUAUAUGCCCCCUAGACUUAGCUAUAGAAAUUCAUUUAGUUUAUUCCAAAUGCUUGUAUUAGUACCUCCUCUGUGCAAGACCAGAGAACAGCCCAGCGUGCCCAGCUCCGGAGCUGCCAUUCUUAACCACUGAUUGUAUUCCAUACCAAGAGAGAUCAGAACAGAAACUUCACCUGCUACUUUUUCCUCUUGUGAGAUAUCUUAGUAGCUUCUCUUCUUGAGUUGCUCAGAGCCUGUGGCCAGAGGCCUUGUGUCCUGCCUGUGUUAACAGCCGUUUGAUAUUAAAGACUGAUGGAGGUGGAACUACUUGCUAAUCUAGGUUUUCUGGUGGUGAACUUUAGAUGAACAAUGCCCCUUUGAUCUUCGGAAGCAGGCCACAGGAUCCUGCCUGCUUGGGGCUUGCUGGGCACAGGCUGUGGAGAUCAGUUGGAGGCCCUAAAGAGUCCAGUUUCCCCAGCUGCAGGUUGGAGUAAUUUGCAUUUCAAAGGCUCUGGAUAAACUGCAAAGGAGCACAUUGGGGAAAGAUUACUUCUAAUUCCUAAUGACUCAAAAAGGCUUGGUAAUCGUUGGCCACCCAGCUGAAGCCUGCCCAAGAGUGAGUUUUAGACUGAAAUAAGAGAAGGUUUCAAACCAAACAGUCAUAAAGAAUUUACGAGAGGCAGUUCUGACUAUGAGGUCUGAAGCCAACUGUUGCCGAAACAAAACGUGGUUGGGGAAUUUGUAGGGUGAGCAUAUCAACCAAAUGAGCACACUUCUGCAAAUUCAAGAGGGUGAAAUUGUCAUGAUACGAGGCAACAGGCAGAAAUUGAAACUAAGAAGAACUGGGAAUUAUAAUUGACGUGUACAGUUGAGUGACAUUAAGUGCAUUCACAUCGUUAUGCAACCAUCACCACCAUCCAUCUCCAGAACUUUUUUAUUUUCUCAAACAGAAACUCCAUACCCAUUUAAAAAACAACUUCCCAUUCUCCCCUCUCCCAAGCCACUGGCAACCAACAUUUUUGACUUUCUGUCUCUAUGAAUUUGCCUCCUCUAGGUACAUCAUAUUAGUGGAAUCAUAUAGUAUUUGCCUUUGUGUGUGUGUGUGUGUAGCUUCUUUUACUUGUCAUAAUGUCUUCAAGGUUCAUUCAUGUUAUAGCAUGUGUCAGCAUGUAAUUAGCAUGUAAUUCCUUUUGAAAGGCUGAACAAUAUUCUAUUGCAUGUACGUACCAUAUUUUGUUUAUCUAUUCAUCUGUUAAUGGACAUUUGAGUUACUUACAGCUUUUGGCUACUGUGAAUAAUGCUGCUAUGCACAUAGGUGUGUAAAUAUUUGUUUCAGUCCCUACUUUCCAUUCUGUUGUGUGUAUACACAAGAAGUAGAAUUGCUAGACCAUAUUGUUGUGCAUUGACUAUUAAGAGAUGCUUGCAGAUAGGACCUUGGGCAGGUUAUGAAAACUUUUUGAGUGUCCUUGGAAUAAUAACUCUGUUAGACCCUACCAUAAACACCAUUUACUAUAAGUGAUGAUAAAUAAGAUACAGGUUUUUUUUUUUUAUUUUUUAUUUUUAAUUUAUGUUUUAUUUUUUGAGACAAAGUCUGACUUUGUUGCCCAGGCUGGAGUGCAGUGACACAAUCUUGGCUCACUGCAACCUCUGCCUCCUGGGUUCAAGCAAUUCUUGUGCCUCAGCCUCCCCAGUAGCUGGGGUUACAGAUGCACACCACCACGCCUGGCUAGCUUUUUGUAUUUUUAGUAGAGACGGGGUUUUGCCUUGUUGCCCCAGGUGGUCGUGAACUCCUGAGCUCAAGCGAUCCACCUGCCUCAGACUCCCCAAGUGCUAGGAUUACAGGCAUGAGCCACUGUGCCCGACAGCCAGAUACAGAUUUUUAAAAAUGAGCUGGUGCUGCAGGGUUGUAAACAGGCUGGGGUAACCAAAAGCAUUUGUCCUUUUGAGUAGGUCUCAGUAGGUCUCCUCUGCUUGUGCAGAAUCCACUGUUCCAGAGAUUUCACUUCCCUGCCCAAAGUGCCCCUCACUUCCCUCCGGCAGAUUGUGCUUCUGGAAAGUUGUGUUUAGUAAUAUCUUAAACACUCAUUAUUCAAGGAACCCUGCGGUGGUUCCUUCUGUAAAAGCAAGGCUCUGUUGGUGAAGGAAAUAACAAGCUCUAAAUGACUCGUAAUAAAUUAGAGCUUUGAUAUAAAAAGCUCUGACCUACAUGUAGGACUUCACAGUUGACAGAAUUCUCUCACCUCUGCUUGUCUGUGUCAUCUGGUAUUUAUCGGGGUGAAGCCGUGAAGGGAUCCUUCUCUACAGAAGAGAACGGGUUGAGCAUUGCAGUGGAAAAUAUCACUCUGGAGACCCACGGUCCUGCCUUCAAAUUCCUUCCUUUCUACCAACUAUGCAAUCUUGGCUAAGUUACAUCUCCUGUCUGGGCCUCGGCUUUCUUAGCAGGAGAAUGGAGACAGUAGCUACCUCAUGGGGCUGCUGGGAGGGGUGCCAAGAAGGCUGUUCUGCAAAAUCAGGAGCAAGAUGUUAAUAUGAAAUCUCAGAAAUCAUAUUCUACAAGUAACUGUUUUUGUGAGAGUGUCAGACCAGCAAAAAUAAAGUUAUUUUUCCUGCAGAAAUGUUAGUAAUAAAGGUCUUUUCAUUACCAUACAUUUCUAGCUUUCAAACUACAUCCCUAAAGAUUACAUUGAGCUCCCACUUGCAAGCUAGGGCCUGUUCUUAAUAACAAGAAAGUAGAAAAUUCUACAAGGAGCAAGAUUUUUCAAAAGUGGAAAUUGUGAUCAGUAUAAUGUAAAUUGUUCCCUAAGCAAUGGCUGCCUAUAUAAUCUACAAGAUAAAAACUGGAAGUGGUUUUCUCUAGCGAGGGUGGCGGGGGGCUGUCCCUGCCCCACAGGAAUCAGGAUAACUGCCCUGCCAUGUGUUCAG